GGCCUGUUGGUCUAGUCGUAUGAUUGUCGCUUCGGGUAAUACCUCCAAUUCGAUUGGAUCCAAUUGUGACAGGUCCCGGGUUCAAAUCCCGGACAGGCCC